CCUCGGUGUAACCUAAAUACAUUUCCCACGUUGGCACAUCUUCAUUUGACAUCAAGUCUCACUUUUUCAGUGUAAACAACGAUAGAAACUAAGCGCCUCAAGGUAUUAUUUUGGCAACAUGCAGGCGAGUCCAACCCCACAACCCACUAACUUGCGCGCUGUGCGACUCAUGAAACAACACGAGUCGGCUGGAGUGCACUGCCCCGCUAUGUCAUUCAGUGUGGCGUAAGGCAAGGAAGGGUUGGCUUAGUGGAAAGAGUUUUUCAUACACACAAACACGCUCUCAUUCACUCGCUGGUGAAGCAACACGCAGCAUAGGUCGCACUUAUGCUGUGACUGAAAUAGUGUCAUUAGACAGGCUACGUCAGAUAAUUAAACGUUUUAAAGAAAACCAGAGGAUUAAUACCCUAAUCGCUGACAGCAUCUUGUGAGAUAUAACUGCUCCAGGACAUUAAUCUGGUUUAAGUACAGACUUCCUUGGACACGGACUAAACAGUGAAAGUUUGCGAUGUCUGGAUCUUACUGUAGAAGUUUGUAUGCUUUCAGCGGAGAGCAACACCAACUUGGUUUGAGAUUCGAGGCGGGGGAAAUUAUAAAAAUAACUCAACCUUUGUCCGGCGGAUGGUGGGAAGGAGAGAAGGAUGGAGAGAGGGGAUGGUUUCCCUCAAGUUACGUUCAGGUCUUGGAGAGGUCUGCCUCCAUGACCAUGCUGCCUUGUGACGACCCCAACCAGUCGCCCCUGCCCAGAGACUGGAAAUGCUACAUGUCUCCUCAAGGAAGAAAAUACUACGUCAACACCGUCAGUAACGGUAAGUGCAGCAUAACCCUAUUGUAGUGUCAUUUUUGUCCCUCUCAUCUUUCCAUAUAAUAGCUGACUAUGGAAGAGAUCUGACCCUGCUCUGGCCUGGGUUCGAGCCCGAUCAGGACCUGGGUCCAAUCUAAAGGCAUCUGUGGUAUAGACCUCCUUCACUGUGUGGCCAGCUGUAUAUGCAGAGGCCACUCUACAUAAAACUUUGAGGGUGAGGCUGUAAAACGUCUGUCGAGGACGAUCGUCCCUUUUUGCCCCGAGUGGAGUAGCACGGAGCUGCGUCUGGUUGGUACCACGGGGUGGGGUGGCAGAUCAGAAGCUCCAUGGGCAUUGUCUUUCAACAAUCCCUGCUCUGUCCACCCGCCUGCCCGCCCGCGGCUCUUGCUGGACUGGUAGUGCAAUGCUGCCCCCCUCUAUGUCUCCCUCCUCCUCCUUACACAACGCUUCCAUCUGCUCUCUCUUAAGACAAGUGUGGUCUAGGAGGAACAGAAACAGUAUCGCAAGUGCCAGUAGUAUCAUGUUUGCUCCCAGCCGUGUGUGUGUGUGUGUGUGUGUGUGUGUGUGUGUGUGUGUGUGUGUGUGAAAUUAUGACCACUGAGUAUUACAUUUAUGGCACUGUUGUAGGAGGAAAUAUGCUUAUCUGCCAAGAUCACUGCACUCCCACGGAGCAUCCGCAGCAGAUUCACAUUCAUGUUGUGUGGGGGCACAUUACAGUCACAUGUAGCUGGUCAAUGUUUCUUUCUUUCUGUGAAAAAAAACCCCACAUCUGGAUGCUACAUGGAAUGAAUGAGUCACGAUGGGAGCCAAAUGAUAUGGAUGUCAACAUGCAUGCAAAGGAUCCUGGUUUCAAAAUAACACACUAAAGAGGCCUACGGUUUCGCUGGUCGCGACAUGACUCCGCCCAAAUAAAAAAAAAUGGUAGUGUUCUUGUAAAUGGGAAACGAAAAAGGCAAAGUGGUCUUUUACAUCAGUCAUUCAUGGCUCUCUUAAACCCACAAACCCACCCACAGCUGGAAUCCUAAAAAUGGCACUGGAGUUGAAUUGAAUAUGUAUUUCACCCAAUUUCCAUUCAAGCCUUACUCCCAAAAAACACCAGAUACUGUCACUUCAUUGUCGAGAUUUCACCCAAACCCUGAAAUUUUAAACUUCUGCAUCUACCUACAUUUCUCUUACCUCAGCACAUUCUCCCUUGUGUGUUAAAGUUCGCGCCGAUUACAUGGUUGUGUUGUCAUGAUGUUUGAUCGCCAUGGUUACAGCAGAGUUGCGUGGGUGAAUGAUGUCCUUGAGAUAGGGCCUCUCUCCUGCUUACUCUCUGUGGCUGUGUCUUGCUUGGUUUGCUGCUCGCGCUCCCCAGCUGAGGCUACCCGCAAACAGUUUCAUAAAGGCGGAAACAUCGGUGUUAGAUCCGCCACACACACAGUCCUAUUCUCUCGUAAGGGAAAGAAAUUGGUUCUGUGGCUUUCGAGUAACGUGGAACCCCUUGGGUUUUUAAAUGUACGGCAUACAUACGGCCUUUGUGGUAUGUGAUUCCAGCGUAGAUUUCUGUGAUGAAAAACCGGCUGCCAUGUGGGUCCCAGGUGUCAGAUUGUUGUUUCCGACCAUUAGUGUACAACUGCAUAUUUCAUCAUAUUGUGUCAUUUCGUGUUUAAAAAAAAAUAUAUAUUAUAAUUAUUAUAUUGUUAUCACAACACUGUGGGGUUAUAUCAUUUAGGUGUAAUAUUACACUUUCUAACAACAGUUUACCCUUAAGAUACUUAGUAGGCCUUAUCUAAUAUUCUGUUCACCUCUUGUGUUUUUCCUUCCCACAUGGCCAAAAUUUGACUUUUCAACCCCACCAAAAUAGAGACUAAGACAGUUUUAGGGAACUUUAAACACAUUUGAAUGGGGUCUUAAUGUGUUUAUUAGUUGCUGAAAUACAUUGGAGAAAUAGAUGAUUAAAUGGUGAUUACUGACAUAUCAGUGCUUUAUUAGACGUUUUUUCAGAAAAAAGGCGGACAAGAUUUGACAAACUGCUCUGGCUAUCGAGUUAACACUGGAAUCCUAUGCCAAAUAGCCACUUAAUCACCCUAUCUCUGUUGAGACGACAGAACUUUGUGCUAUUUAAACAGGUCAUGGUUGACGCUCUGGAAAGCUUCAAGUGGUGAACAGGCAGCGAGAACCACAAAGGGGAUAUCACAUAUGGUUAUGAAUUAAAAAUGAACAUAAGUAGGCCAUUCUUCCCAAGCUGCCAGGAGUCAGUAACUUUCAUUCACUCGAAUCCUGAAUGAGACACUCUCUUGUUAACGAAGAAUGGUUGAACAGGAGCAGCAGUGAAUGUGCAGGGAAAAACUCCAAAGAAAAAGCAGAAGUAGAAAUCUACGACAAAAGGCCUAGUUAUUACAGCUCAUAGCUUUUUGUUUGAAUGGAGAUGAUUAGCCUAAUCUCUGUAUCAGGUGCCUGUUGCUUAGUAACCACCCAGUUCCAUUUUGAAGUUGCAGCAGCAGCCCCCAUGUAACAUUCUAAUUCAAAACAAAGAAAGAGAUCCUCUUCUUUUUAUUCUCCUCCCGCGUGAGCGUCUUCUCACAGGCGUUGGCACUUUCUGAAUGGAGGUUCGGUUUUAAUGUUGGUGAAUCUCAAACUCAAAAAGGAAGUUAAAUAGAAGAAAAUUAAAG